AGCUGUUAGAAUAAGUAUUAAUGGUCAUAUCUGCUCAAUGAAAAACUUAAAUAGCUGCAGUAACCUGACUGUACAAAGGUAGCAUAAUCAUUAGUUUUUUAAUUGGAGACUGGAAUGAAAGAAUGAGACUAAAAAGAGUGUUUUAUAUAUUAAAUUUUAACUUGGUUUAUAAAUAAAAAAUUUUAUAUCAAUCUUAGGGACGAGAAGACCCUAGAAGCUUGAAAAUUAAAGUUUUUGAUUGGGGCAAUAAGAGAAGAAAGUAAUCUUUCCUUUAAAAAUUAGUCAAAAAAGUUACUCUAGGGAUAACAGCGUUAUUUAAUUAGAAAGUUCUUAUUAAAAAUUAAUGUUUGCGACCUCGAUGUUGAAUUAAAUAGUAUUAAAGGUGUAGAAGCUUUUAUAAAUUAGUCUGUUCGACUAACAAAAUUUACG
rnacentral:rRNA from 1 species